AUUCAGACAGUAAACUUUAUUCUUAGAGGUGCAGUUGUGGUAACAGUAGAACCAGAACUAAAUCAGCUAGGAAAAAAAGGCUUCAUGUUACCAAUUGCCAAUACCAAUUUGGUCAACACCACAGUCCAGAUGAUAAAGGACGCAAUAGUCAUUGGUAGUGAUAUAGAGCUAAAAAAGAAAGAAAAUUCCGAACCAGACUUUUGAAAGAAUGUUAUUAAUAAUAUUAAUCAACAUAUGAUUCCUUAAAUACUGAUGAUAAAUAUUUAGAGAGUCUCCGACCAAAUUGAAAUCAGAUCACAAGACGUAUUUUUGGUUUCUUUAAUUAGAUAUUCUAUUUUACAG